rnacentral:rRNA from 1 species
UACGUAGGGUGCAAGCGUUAUCCGGAAUUAUUGGGCGUAAAGAGCUCGUAGGCGGUUUGUCGCGUCUGCUGUGAAAACUGGAGGCUCAACCUCCAGCCUGCAGUGGGUACGGGCAGACUAGAGUGCGGUAGGGGAGAUUGGAAUUCCUGGUGUAGCGGUGGAAUGCGCAGAUAUCAGGAGGAACACCGAUGGCGGAAGGCGGGUCUCUGGGCCGAUACUGACGCUGAGGAGCGAAAGCGUGGGGAGCAAACAGG